rnacentral:rRNA from 1 species
AUUGAACGCUGACGGCAGGCCUAACACAUGCAAGUCGGACGGUGGCACAGAGAGCUUGCUCUUGGGUGACGAGUGGCGGACGGGUGAGUAAUGUCUGGGGAUCUGCCCGAUAGAGGGGGAUAACCACUGGAAACGGUGGCUAAUACCGCAUAACGUCGCAAGACCAAAGAGGGGGACCUUCGGGCCUCUCACUAUCGGAUGAACCCAGAUGGGAUUAGCUAGUAGGCGGGGUAAUGGCCCACCUAGGCGACGAUCCCUAGCUGGUCUGAGAGGAUGACCAGCCACACUGGAACUGGGACACGGUCCAGACUCCUACGGGGGGCAGCAGUGGGGAAUAUUGCACAAUGGGCGCAAGCCUGAUGCAGUCAUGCCGCGUGUAUGAAGAAGGCCUUCGGGUUGUAAAGUACUUUCAGCGGGGAGGAAGGCGGUGCGGUUAAUAACCGUACCGAUUGACGUUACCCGCAGAAGAAGCACCGGCUAACUCCGUGCCAGCCGCCGCCGUAA